rnacentral:rRNA from 1 species
CCGACACAGGUAGAUGAGGAGAGAAUCCUAAGGUCGUCGGAAGAAUUAUUGCUAAGGAACUCGGCAAAUUGACCCCGUAACUUAGGGAGAAGGGGUGCCUACGAGAGUAGGCCGCAGUGAAUAGGCUCAAGCAACUGUUUAUCAAAAACACAGGUCUCUGCUAAAGCGUAAGCUGAUGUAUAGGGGCUGACGCCUGCCCGGUGCUGGAAGGUUAAGGGGAAUAGUUAGCGCAAGCGAAGCUAUGAACUUAAGCCCCAGUAAACGGCGGCCGUAACUAUAACGGUCCUAAGGUAGCGAAAUUCCUUGUCGGGUAAGUUCCGACCCGCACGAAUGGCGUAAUGAUUUGAGCACUGUCUCGGCAAUAAAUCCGGUGAAAUUGUAGUGCAAGUGAAGAUGCUUGCUACCCGCGGUUGGACGGAAAGACCCCGUAGAGCUUUACUGUAGCUUAGCAUUGAAUUUCGGUAUUGUCUGUACAGGAUAGGUGGGAGACUUAGAAGCGAGGGCGUCAGCUUUCGUGGAGUCGUCCUUGGGAUACCACCCUGACAGUACUGGAAUUCUAACUGGAGGCCAUGAAUCUGGUCACAGGACAUUGCUAGGUGGGCAGUUUGACUGGGGCGGUCGCCUCCUAAAAGGUAACGGAGGCGCCCAAAGGUUCCCUCAGCGCGGUCGGAAAUCGCGCGU